UAGGAAACAGAUGCUAAUACCGGAUAACAACAGAUGAUGCCUAUCAACUGUUUAAAAGAUGGUUCUGCUAUCACUCUUGGAUGGACCUGCGGUGCAUUAGCUAGUUGGUAGGGUAACGGCCUACCAAGGCGAUGAUGCAUAGCCGAGUUGAGAGACUGAUCGGCCACAUUGGGACUGAGACACGGCCCAAACUCCUACGGGAGGCAGCAGCA
rnacentral:rRNA from 1 species